GACGAACGCUGGCGGCGUGCUUAACACAUGCAAGUCGAACGGAAAGGCCCUGCUUUUGUGGGGUGCUCGAGUGGCGAACGGGUGAGUAACACGUGAGUAACCUGCCCUUGACUUUGGGAUAACUUCAGGAAACUGGGGCUAAUACCGGAUAGGAGCUCCUGCUGCAUGGUGGGGGUUGGAAAGUUUCGGCGGUUGGGGAUGGACUCGCGGCUUAUCAGCUUGUUGGUGGGGUAGUGGCUUACCAAGGCUUUGACGGGUAGCCGGCCUGAGAGGGGGACCGGGCACAUUGGGACUGAGAGACGGCGCAGACUCGUACGGGGGGCAACAGUGGGGAAUAUUGCACAAUGGGCGGAAGCCUGAGGCAGCGACGCUGCGUGCGGGAUGACGGCCUUCGGGUUGUAAACCGCUUUCGGCUGUGACGAAGCGUGAGUGACGGUAAUGGGUAAAGAAGCACCGGCUAACUACGUG
rnacentral:rRNA from 1 species